rnacentral:rRNA from 1 species
GACAGAGGGUGCAAACGUUGUUCGGAAUUACUGGGCGUAAAGCGCGUGUAGGCGGUUCGUAAAGUCGGAUGUGAAAGCCCUGGGCUUAACCCAGGAAGUGCAUUCGAAACUCACGAACUUGAGUCCCGGAGAGGAAGGCGGAAUUCUCGGUGUAGAGGUGAAAUUCGUAGAUAUCGAGAGGAACAUCUGUGGCGAAGGCGGCCUUCUGGACGGUGACUGACGCUGAGACGCGAAAAGCGUGGGGGAGCAAACAGG